CAACUGCACUCCAGCCUGGGCAACAGAGCGAGACUCCAUCUCAAAAAAAAAAAAAAAAGACUUGGCUCCUCACUUGUAUUGUGGGAAUCCCAGCCUAAAUUGGACAUGUGGAUGUUGAGCAAUAGAGGACAGACAAACAAAGGAAUCUCCAGACCCUGCAGGACCCAAGGCAGCAGCCCACGAGUGGAUCCUAAAGGAUUUUCAUCAGCUGCAAGUCUGGGGUUACUAGAGCCUGACCAAAAUUCUCUACUGACCAGAGACAGACAGACAGACCUGUUCCCUGUUCCCCAACUUCCAGUGGUGCUGCGCAUGGAGACGCUGAGGUGGGACCCAAAGACCUGCUCCCGUCUUCUCUCCUUAGGGACUUGCAGAAGCCCCUUUCUCAGAGUCACCCCUCCCAGGAUGAGGUGAAGAGGCUGAAAAGGGAAGGGCCAUAAUGCUAAGGCUGGGGCAGGGGACAGCGGCGCCCUCCAUGCACUCUCCUGAUUAGUGCAGAUCCACAGAGUCAUCCCACCAAAACCCCCCCCAGGAUGUAUGUGAGACCACUGGACUCAUUGGCACUGGCAAAUAAGAAGAUGGCCAGAAAGCAAUCAACACCGAACGCCCACUGCGUGCUUGGCACUGGGCCAGACUCUGCUGGGGGAGACUGGAGGAAAGGCCCAUUUCACUGGUCUUGAGCUCUACAUACCAUGUUAAGCCAGAGAGGUACAUAUUACAAAUACUGGAGACUCUCAUGCUUGAGUAUAAUCCUAUAAUCUUAUACCCACUCCCAUUCAGACGUGUGGUCAUAUGUGAAUGUCAAGCACACAAGCUAGACAGAAGAAAGAACUUCCCUAGGUUGUCAGUACUGUAGAGUAAAAUCAUCAGACUCGAAGCCCUCAUUCUCGGAAGGUGAUGAACUGGGAGAGCCCCCGCCUUGCUGGGCCAGGGGUAAAAUAAGGCUCCUGUCUGAAGGCAGGGGGAUGGUUGAGAUGACCCCUCAAGAUGCUACCCAGGAAAAGGCAGAGAGGUAAAGUUUCCAGUAGAGGGGCAUGAGAAGGAGGGACAGACAGAUGGAUGGAGGGAUGGAGGAGUGCAGGGAGCAGUGCUGGAGAGAUGAAUGGUCUUGGCUGGACUGAUGGGCGAGGCCAAGAUGGAUGGAUGGCAGCUGAGGUUUGUUUACUGGCAGCCCCCAGCCCGCCAUCGCCCAGGGGAGAGGAAUGGUGGCUGGCACAUCAGAGGGCUCUUAGGGAAGCUCAUGGAGAUGAUUUAGAUGGGAAUGAAUCAGCUCCAUAUGGAUUAAGUGUCCCCGCAAAUCCCAGAUCUUACAGAUGAGGGGAUGGGGCAAGGGCACUGAGGGGAGGGGAGAGAGUGGGGAAGCAGCGUGGAGCUGGUGCAGGGAAACACGGUCCUGAAGCCAGGGGAAGGGCACCCUCAGAGGGCAUGGGGCAGGUCAGCCUGGCACAGAUGCAACCCCUGCCUUGGUCUGUUGAUACCACUGUUCCUCUUGCUUGGUACCAAGCUUUAGGAAAAGGCCUCCUUCUCCACACCAAACCAACUGUUGGAGUGUCCUUUCUGAGUCCGUUUUGGUCUGUCUCCUCUUGCCUCUGUCUCUUGUUCUCUCUACAUCUUCAUCUGUCUUUCAUCUUCAUUUUUCUGUCCCUCUCACUACCUAGCCUUCUCUGUGUUUCUGUCUCUCUCCUUCCACAUUCCCCCGCUUUCCACACUCCCACACUUUCCAUCUCUUUCUCUAGAGGUAUAAAUGGUAGAGGGAUGCUGCCAGUUUCUCUGAACGUCAGCCUUAGCUCUGCCCUCCUCUCCUGGGGUCAGGUCUGAUGCCUCCCUCCCUCUGUACUGUUCUCUCACACAGACCACAAGUUUGGAGGUGGUCAACAGAACAGGGAAGGUGGUCAGAAAAGUGACUUUUUGGCUACAGAAAGUUAUUUGUGUUCCUCUCUGCCACCCUGCCCUCGUGCCUUCAGCUGUCCCUUCUCCCAGUGCCAGAGGAGGCUUGGAUUGAGCACCCAUGCUCUAUGGACAACAGCAAGUUGAGCAGACCUUAACAUCAUUCCCGGGGAGGCAACGGGUCAUCUGCUGGCUGGGGUUAUCAAAGGCCCCAUCUCCUACUCCUCUCCCAUGCCCCACAGUGAAGAGCCCCAGAGCUGGCUGUGGUUAUGAAGCCGGCUGCCAUGUGGGCGACCUGGAGUCAGAGCACGGGGCAGUCACAUAUGACAAUUGGUUGAAAUAUCACAGCCACUCUCCCCCCACCCCCACUGGUGAUCUAUGGGCUGCGUGCCCUGUAAAAAUUAUUUAUCGGGGCCUCAGAGUGUCCUGAUUUAGUGCCGCUGCCUCUGGGGCCUUGGGGCCUGCCUGUCCACCAGAGUCUAAGCGUUAAACGACGCUAAAAAGUUAAACAGCCAACGCUGGGGGCUCACUCGAGGAGGCACCAUAAAGCUGUCGGAGCUGCUUAAAUCAGGAGCGAGGAUUCCCUGGGACGUCUUCUCUCCAUACGCCGCAAGCCAAGAAGGCUCUCCUUACCCCUCUGCCACUCACCCAUACCCAGAAGCCCACAGAGGGCAGGGGACACGUGGGCCGGGGGCCUGGAACAGAGCCCAAAAGGAGGCCACGGAUGACCUCCUCUGCAGGGCUUUCUCCAGCAGAACAGGGGCCGUGGCUCAAGAGGGUAGGGGUCAUGUUGUCCAGCUCACCAACUCUGGGCAGGGGUCUCCUUGUUCCGGUCCAGUUUUUAAAGACUUCCAACAAAAGGCACUGCCAAAGUCUCUCCCAGGGGCCCCUGGGGAGAAGUUGUUUCCCAAGUCUGUCUCACUUCAAUCCACGCUUCUGUGUGUUGAAUCCACUGGAACUCAGUGUCUUCCCACUCAGGUUUGGAGAGGCUGUGCUGGCCACACCAGCCUGUGACUUCUUGCCUCCUUUCACCCCUCCACACCCACUUGCAUGGCUCUCUGAGGAACAGAGCCCCACCCUUCCAUCACCACCCUCCGCCAACGCACCCCUGGGUGCUGGCAUAACACGCAAGCUUCACAGAUGGCUUUUCUCAGCUGAAGCCCAGUCCCUGCUGCCACCACCCGGCCGCCGAGCAAGAGGGAAG
rnacentral:lncRNA from 1 species